CUAACUUUCUCCAAGUGUAGGGAUAAAAAAAUGAACAGAAAAAACGUAUAGGGAAGGCAAAAUACAUUCACCAUGAUGUUGAUUCACAGCUGAUGUAGCCAAUUUAUUGAAAAUCCAAAAUUAUCUUUUAAUCUAUAGAUUAGUCGCCACAGAUUUAUCGUCGAUUUGUUGUAUGGGUUUGCCUCGAAUAGCGAUAACACAGACAACAAUAUGCUGAAGGCGAGACGACAUUCGAGUUUCUUUGAGUAAAAUUUUUAAUGUAUAUAAAUACACGACAUAUGGAGAGAAUUUAUAAAUAAUAAAUCGAUUUUUUUAUUGAUAAGAUGAAGUGAUGCAGUAAGAGACAUCAUGUCUGCUAGCUGUUGUUCUUUUACGAUUUCUGUUUUUAAUAUUUCGAUAUUUUCCACGCGCAUAUAUACUUUAAUAAUAGAUAGAAUACUCUCUUAUGUACAUUCUGGAGCAUCUUUUCGAAUGCUCUUCAUUAAAAUACUAUUAUUUACAUUUUAUAUCAUUAUUGACUGAUGUUCCCGUAGUUGUUUUAUAAGCAUGCCUUGAUGGAAGUGUAUUCAAGAGACCAUAUAGUUCGAAUAAAUUACAAAAAUGAGAUAGUUUAGUAGGAGAGCGAAGCUUAUAGGUCUCGCUUACAUGAGAAGAAAUGAAAACGUAGGACGAUUUCGUUCAUAAAGUGCUGUUAUAUUAGUGGCCACCACUCUCUAAUUAACUUUGAACUGCUUCCAAUUUUGAGUUGAUGAGAGGUUUCGCUACGUGCACGGUAAUAACCAGUCGACUCUCAUGCAACUCUCUCGCAACUCUGAUCUCGUUUGACCAGAGCACGAGAGCUGAGAAAACUCUCAUGCAAACUUUCGCUUCUCAACUCUCAUCAACUCUCAUGCAACUCUUGUUCUCGUUAGACCGGGACACGAGAGUUGAGAAAACUCUCAUGCAAACUCUCGCUUCUCAAGUCUCAUCAACUUUCAUGCAACUCUUGUUCUCGUUUGACCAGGGCAUGAAAGUUGAGAAAACUCUCAUGCAAACUCUCGUUUCUCAACUCUCAUCAACUCUCAUGCAACUCUUGUUCUCGUUUGACCGGGGCAUGAGAGUUGAGAAAACUCUCAUGCAAACUCUCGCUUCUCAACUCUCAUGCAACUCUUGUUCUCGUUUGACCGGGGUAUGACAGUUGAGAAAACUCUCAUGCAAACUCUCGCUUCUCAUCAUUUGAUCAGGGGCCAGUUG